CCUACGGGGGGCUGCAGUGGGGAAUAUUGCACAAUGGACGGAAGUCUGAUGCAGCAACGCCGCGUGGAGGAUGACACAUUUCGGUGCGUAAACUCCUUUUAUAGGUCAAGAUAAUGACGGUAGCCUAUGAAUAAGCGCCGGCUAACUCCGUGCCAGCAGCCGCGGUAAUACGGAGGGCGCAAGCGUUACUCGGAAUCACUGGGCGUAAAGAGCGUGUAGGCGGACUAAUAAGUCAGAAGUGAAAUCCAAUAGCUUAACUAUUGAACUGCUUUUGA
rnacentral:rRNA from 1 species